AGACAUUAAUCUUAAGUAUCCAGGGAGCCCUAAAACAUUGUAUCCCACUAGCAAGGACCAUGGUAAUUGCCACGUAAAUCCCCUCCAUUAUGUGGCCCUUAUUAUGACCAGCCAGCCAAGGCUUGCCUUUAAAUCAUACCAAUUGAACCGAGCCUUGUAGAAACACUAUCACCUACGCAUACCUCUGCUUCUUUUCAUUAACCUGCUAUCCUCUUUACAAAUGGGAUUCUUCACCCACUCCCUUCUUCUAGAUUAGCAAUGCCCUGUUAAGUAAACGAACACGAAAUUCAAAGGGAAACAGGAGCAAUCAUCAUUACCAGCUGCCGUGUUAAGCAUUGCGAAAACGCUCACGAUUCACAGAAAAAUCCAUGCUGUUCUUUGAAGGCAUUCAAGCCUUAAUAGCUAGCUGGAUGAAUGUUUAACUUCUAGGCCAGGCACUACUCUGUCCCAACAAUAAGCCCUGUACAUUGGGAAAGGUGCCGAGACAUGAACUUUGGUCUUCUCUGCAAUCCAUCUGGAGCAUUCACUGACAACAUCGACUUUGAAGUUGCACUGACCUGGCCAGCCCUGCCACUUACCAGGUUGGGCUGUGGCUUGCCUUUUCACUUCUUGUGUCCUGUUUAAGAAAUAUCUGCUAUCCCAAGAUUGCAAACUCCUAGAGAAGGGCUCAACAGUGAGUGCUGAGGCUGCACAGAGGAGGAAGGCAGCACAAUGAUGGAAGGCUUCCUAAAGAGAUAACACUAACAAAGUUGACCUUAGAAUUGGAGUGCCUGGGUUAGAACCCUGCUGGUACCACCUGCUUACUGCAUGCUUCUGAUGUGAGUUCAGGAGAAGACACUGGCAAGGACAGCAAAGAACAGGAGAACACUCUAGCUUCCCUGAUAGCAUUCAAGGUGCUGUCCAAAAGUUUCACUCUUAUUGCCCAGGCUGGAGUGGAAUGGCGCAAUCUUGGCUCACUGCAACCUCCGUCUUUCGGGUUCAAGCAAUUCUUCUGCCUCAGCCUCCCCAGUAGCUGGGACUACAGGCAUGCACCACCAUGCCUGGCUAAUUUUGUAUUUUUAGGAGAGACGGGGUUUCACCAUGUUGGUCAGGCUGGUCUUGAACUCCUGACCUCAGUUGAUCCACCGUCUUCAGCCUCCCAAAGUGCUGGGAAUACAGGCAUGAGCCACCAUGCCCAGCCUAAUUUUUCUUACAUGAGAUACGGUUUACCAAAGUCCACCUUCCACUUCUUCCUUCGUGUAUAUAUAGAGAUAGCAUUUCCUAGCUUCUCUUGCAAUUAAUUGUGGCCAUGAGCUUUGGGCAGUGGAAUGUGAAUGGAAGUGAUGUGGCCACUCCAUAUGUGUUUCUCUGUGUCCUUUCCCCUUCUAGCUGACUGUGAUGGCACCCUCCAGACAGACAGCGAUGCCACAUGUUCAAGAUGGCAGAAUCACUAUCAGCUUCAAUUCCUGAAUGACUGCAGAGCAAAAUUUCUUACCUGCAACAUACACUCUAUUUUCAGCCUCCCUGGACUGUUACAUAAUGAUACAUAAAAAUAUUUCUUGUGUUGAGGCAUCCCAAAUUUGAUUUAUUUGUCAUCACAGUCUAUCCUAUGAAUAUAUUUCUGAUCCAAAUAAUGCUAGAUUCAUGAGAGUUUAUAGUCCAGAGAUUUUUUUUUUUUUUUUGAGACAGAAUCUGUCUCCCAGGCUGGGGUGCAGUGGCAUAAUCUUAGCUCACUGCAACCUCUGCCUCCCGGGCUCAAGUGAUCCUCCCUCCUUAGCCUCCAUGAGUAGCUGGGACCACAGGUGUGCACCACCACACCCCGCUAAUUAUUUUGUAUUUUUUGCAGAGGGGGGUUUCACCACAUUGCCCAAGCUGGUCUCAAACUCCUAGACUUAAGGGAUCUGCCUGCCUUGGCCUCCCAAAAUGCUGAAAUUACACUUGUUAGCCAUAGUAAUAGUUCCUAGCCAUAGUCCGGAGAUAUUUUAAAAACUUUAGUGUGAGUUAUUUCUCUUUGCUAUAAUUCUCUCAUGCAUUUUGAAAACCUUUUCUGCCAUACAGUGGUUUUUGGGAAGUCCUUUUGGACAGACAUAUCACAGGAUGGAGAAACUAAAAAGAGAGAAUGCAUUAAAGAAAAAAUAGUACUUCGUAUUUCAGAAAUUACAAAAGGGUGUCAUGCCCCACAGCAUGGUGGGCAGUCAUUUGUAACCCACAGAACAUUGAGUUUCUAAAAUUUGAGUGUUUUUAACUUACGAAGGCCAACUUUACUGAUGAAGUGAUUACCCCAAAUAUGUGAAAUCCAUAUUUCAAGUACAAUAGUAGGAAAUUGGAAAUGGGCUCUUGAGUUUCUGCUUUCAAGUGACCCUCAGAAAUUCCUCCAUUCACUGCAGAGGUUCUGUUUCUCCUUGCUUUGUUCUGACUUUACGGCAGAACUAAGCUAAUGAGUUAGUUACUAUGGGUUAUCACUUGGAUUUGAAGAACCAUCAUUUCUAGGCAUUGCUGCUCAGAGUGGGUCUGCCCUCAGGGGAAGCUGUCUAACCAGAGCCUAACCCACUAGGGUUUUAUCAGAACCUAACUGACCUGAGGAAAAGAAAUACUCAACUCCAGCAAGCUCCAGCCUUCCAAAUGGAGGAGGAGAAAACCCAACUCCAGCCCACUUCAGCUAUCUUGUCCCACAUAAAGGGGAAGUGGAAGAAACCUGAGAAGCAGGCAUGAAGUUCACAGUCCAGAGACCUUGCCAUCGUAUCCCCUUUUGGAGACACAAGCCAGGAAGGAAGCUCUUCAGUGCAGCUGUGAAUAGAGAAAUGCUGGCUGAGGUUUUGGAGACACUGGGUGAUCAUUCCCAGUGAAAUUUUUAGAUCCCUGGGGACAUGAGCUGCUUUGUCUUUUCCAAGGUCAGGAUAAACAGAAUAACUUCAGGCUUCUCUACCCAGAAAGAACAUGUGGCAUAAAUAUCAACUGCAGAAUAAAUAUGAUUAAUCUGGUACAUGGACGAAGAUGUUUUCUAGGAGAUGCUUAUCCUGGGAUGAGAGCUUUCAUAAGCAUUGAUAUUUACAUGACUCUUACCGUGUGUCAGGAACUGUUCUAAUUGUUUUACCUAUGUCAAUUCAUUUGAUAGUCACAACCACUGAAAGGAGUAAGUACUCUUAUUACUUCCAUUUUACAGAUAGGGAAACUGAGGUAUAGAGAAGUCAAGUGACUUGCCCGAGGUUAUUAAACUACUUAAUGUCAACACCA
rnacentral:lncRNA from 1 species